GAUGAAGAACGUAGUGAAAUGCGAUAAGUAAUGUGAAUUGCAGAAUUCAGUGAAUCAUCGAAUCUUUGAACGCACCUUGCGCUCCUUGGUAUUCCUUGGAGCAUGCCUGUUUGAGUAUCAUGAGCAAAUCUCAAAGUCGAUCCUUUUGUUAAUUCAAUUGGUUUGCUUUGGACUUGGAGGCCUUGCAGAUUUCACCGUCUGCUCCUCUUAAAUGCAUUAGCUGGAUCUCAGUAUUAUGCUUGGUUCCACUCGGCGUGAUAAGUAUCACUCGCUGAGGACACUGUAAAAGGUGGCAAGGAAAAUACUGAUCGAACCGCUUCUAACGGUCUAUUAACUUAGACAAUUACCCUUAAGUUUGAUCUCAAAGCAGGUAGGACUACCCGCUGAACUUAAGCAUAUCAAUAAGCGGAGGA
rnacentral:misc_RNA from 1 species